rnacentral:rRNA from 1 species
GACGAACGCUGGCGGCGUGCCUAAUACAUGCAAGUAGAACGCUGAAGGAGGAGCUUGCUCUUCUGGAUGAGUUGCGAACGGGUGAGUAACGCGUAGGUAACCUGCCUGGUAGCGGGGGAUAACUAUUGGAAACGAUAGCUAAUACCGCAUAAGAGUAGAUGUUGCAUGACAUUUGCUUAAAAGGUGCAAUUGCAUCACUACCAGAUGGACCUGCGUUGUAUUAGCUAGUUGGUGGGGUAACGGCUCACCAAGGCGACGAUACAUAGCCGACCUGAGAGGGUGAUCGGCCUCACUGGGACUGAGACACGGCCCAGACUCCUACGGGAGGCAGCAGUAGGGAAUCUUCGGCAAUGGACGGAAGUCUGACCGAGCAACGCCGCGUGAGUGAAGAAGGUUUUCGGAUCGUAAAGCUCUGUUGUAAGAGAAGAACGAGUGUGAGAGUGGAAAGUUCACACUGUGACGGUAUCUUACCAGAAAGGGACGGCUACUACGUG